AACGAACGCUGGCGGCAGGCCUAACACAUGCAAGUCGAACGCUCGUAGCAAUACGGGAGUGGCAGACGGGUGCGUAACGCGUGGGAACAUACCCUUUGGUUCGGAAUAACUCAGGGAAACUUGAGCUAAUACCGGAUACGCCCGAGAGGGGAAAGAUUUAUUGCCGAAGGAUUGGCCCGCGUCUGAUUAGCUAGUUGGUGAGGUAACGGCUCACCAAGGCGACGAUCAGUAGCUGGUCUGAGAGGAUGAUCAGCCACACUGGGACUGAGACACGGCCCAGACUCCUACGGGAGGCAGCAGUGGGAAUAUUGGACAAUGGGCGCAUGCCUGAUCCAGCCAUGCCGCGUGAGUGAUGACGGCCUUAGGGUUGUAAAGCUCUUUUACCCGGGAAGAUAAUGACGGUACCGGGAGAAUAAGCCCCGGCUAACUUCGUGCCAGCAGCCGCGGUAAU
rnacentral:rRNA from 1 species